rnacentral:rRNA from 1 species
AGAGUUUGAUCCUGGCUCAGGAUGAACGCUAGCGGCAGGCCUAACACAUGCAAGUCGAGGGGUAGAUGUCUUCGGAUAUCGAGACCGGCGCACGGGUGCGUAACGCGUAUGCAACCUGCCUUCCACAAAGGGAUAGCCCAGAGAAAUUUGGAUUAAUACCUUAUAGCAUUGCGGAAUGGCAUCAUUUCGUAAUUAAAGAUUUAUCGGUGGAAGAUGGGCAUGCGUCCCAUUAGCUUGUUGGUAAGGUAACGGCUUACCAAGGCAAUGAUGGGUAGGGGUCCUGAGAGGGAGAUCCCCCACACUGGUACUGAGACACGGACCAGACUCCUACGGGAGGCAGCAGUGAGGAAUAUUGGACAAUGGGCGCAAGCCUGAUCCAGCCAUGCCGCGUGCAGGAUGAAGCAUCUAUGGUGUGUAAACUGCUUUUAUACGGGAAGAAACCCCGCCUCGUGAGGCGGACUGACGGUACCGUAAGAAUAAGGACCGGCUAACUCCGUGCCAGCAGCCGCGGUAAUACGGAGGGUCCAAGCGUUAUCCGGAAUCAUUGGGUUUAAAGGGUCCGUAGGCGGCCUUGUAAGUCAGUGGUGAAAUCUCCCGGCUCAACCGGGAAAUGGCCAUUGACACUGCAGGGCUUGAAUUAUUGGGAAGUAACUAGAAUAUGUAGUGUAGCGGUGAAAUGCUUAGAUAUUACAUGGAAUACCGAUUGCGAAGGCAGGUUACUAUCAAUAUAUUGACGCUGAUGGACGAAAGCGUGGGUAGCGAACAGGAUUAGAUACCCUGGUAGUCCACGCCGUAAACGAUGGAUACUAGCUGUUCGGGGCAACCUGAGUGGCUAAGCGAAAGUGAUAAGUAUCCCACCUGGGGAGUACGUUCGCAAGAAUGAAACUCAAAGGAAUUGACGG